UACGGAGGGUGCGAGCGUUGUCCGGAAUCACUGGGCGUAAAGGGCGCGUAGGUGGCCCGACAAGUCGCUGGUGAAAGCUCGACGCUCAACGUCGAGUCGGCCAGUGAUACUGUUGGGCUGGAGCACUGUAGAGGCUCAUGGAAUUCCGGGUGUAGCGGUGGAAUGCGUAGAGAUCCGGAAGAACACCGGUGGCGAAGGCGGUGAGCUGGGCAGUUGCUGACACUGAGGCGCGACAGCGUGGGGAGCAAACAGG
rnacentral:rRNA from 1 species